CUCUGGCCGGCCUCCUCCCCACCGCGCUGUCGUCCGGCCUCCUCCCCACCGCGCCGUCGCCCGGCCUUCUCCUUGAGCGCGCUGCCGCCCGGCCCUCUCCCCAUCGCUGGCAGCGUCUCCAUUCUGCUCCGGCCGCCUCUCUCCCUCCGACCACCAUGGCUCCAACCUCUCGCAUCUCGCACUGCCCUCAUGUCGUUGGAGCACCCUGCCCGUUCACAGCCACCACUUUCAGGCCGUUCAACGCCACCACCCAAAGCGGUUCACCAUAGCAGAACCCUGGAUCCCGCUGCCACCAUGUCUCUGUCCUGCUGCAGCAUGGCUCAGCUACUGCACUUGGUGGAGGGAAGAGCCUUUCCCCUGCGGAAUGCAAGUGUUCAUGAGGUAGGAGCGGAGAAGGAAGAUGGAAUCUGCUGGCUACGGUGGAGGUACCAGACUUUGAUAUGAUGAUGCUUACUGACAGAAGUGAAGUUCCUCCACUACAGCCACUGCGGCCCACAACAGCCCUUGGUGGUGGAGUUCGUCGCGUCCAUCAGUCCAACCCCAUGGCUUCAGGGCAUCCAAGUUUCGUCGCGGCCAUCAGUUCGGACACCUGUGUCACUGCGUGUGUUGCACUCACGGCCAUUUGUGUCACAGCGUGCUCUGUCACCGGCCUCCAGUGCACCGGGACCCCUGCCGCACUCCUUCCUCUCCCUGAAGCCGCUCGUGCCCUCCCAGGCUUGAUAUCCUGCUACAGCGAUGAGCUCAUGUACAUCGCCGAAGUUCCAUACCCACUCAACGGCACCAGCACGAGGAGCGUGCCUCAAGGUCAAGUAUGCAGACGCAUGCAGAGGAGUGCAGGUUGUCCGAUGCGCCAAGUAUUGCCAGCAGCGAUGCCUGCUUACGUCUUCCUCGUGUGAUUCGCCAAGGCCGUGUACUCCUCCUGAGAUAAGAAGAGCGAUAAGGAGGUGAUCAGUCCAGCUCCUGCAACCAACACAGGUCGUUGCCCCUUUUGCCACAACGGCAGCAGCACAAACAUUAGUGUGGUCGUCCUCAACCAGUUCCUCACGCAGCCUCCACGCAAGCCCUGCUCAUGUAUGCUUACACCAAAAGUACACCUCUUGCUACUCUCCUUGUACUUGCACUUGCUUAUUUUCUAAGCAAUAAUUCCUAUUGCUUCCUCUUGGGGGAAGGGAUCCCAUGUUAAAGCUAUCUUGGUGCUCACCCACUGUUUAUAUUCAUCAGCAUAGUGUACGAAACAUAUGAAAACCAUUCUGGCUUCGGAGAAAAUAUAACCAGUACAUGUGCAAUUGCUUGAGAAGUUCCCUUAUGAAAGUUCCUUGUAAACAAACCACAUGAAAGCUCAUCGAGAAUUACUUUGUAAGUUCAAACGGCUAUAGGAAAACUUUGUAGGUUCAGAUGGGUAUAGAAAACUUCGUAAGUUCAAAAUGGGCACGCCUAACAGUGCACGAAUAAAUAAACUAUAAACCCAACAAAGUCCAUGUUGGUCGGUCUACAGUGUGUUGUCUAGAAAGUUGUUGGCCUUGGAGGCCGACACUGGCUGAUCAUCUACCUUCCAAUUAUUAUUAGGCAUAUACCACUGAAACUGCAGGUCACGCCCUCCUCCCGCUGUAGGUCGCGCCCUCCUCCCGCAUAGCCUAUUGGUUGGCGCACCAUGACCCCUCCUCAUAUUUUUGCAAUUCAACAGGGGCGUGGGGUUCAGUUUGACGGUGACGACCCAGGCAGCCGGCCUUCGCAUAACGAACUGGUGCAGUUUGAUCUUGUGUGAAUUGGAAAUCCCCUGAUGCUGAGUGUGUCAGUACAAUCCUACGC